GGACAAUGUAUCAGCGGUGAGGUAUGUCAACCACUUGGGCGGUACUCAACCUGUGGUCCUGGCCAGAUUGGCGAAAGACUUUUGGGACUUUUGCUUAGACUGGAACCUGGUGGUUCAAGCGGAAUACCUGCCAGGACUACACAACGUCCAGGCGGACUGGGGCUCACGAUAUCUAUCACAUGCCAACGACUCGAAAUUGGACACGAACGUGUUCUCCAGUAUAUUGUCUCUUUG